GAUGACUGAUAUGGAAUGGAAGAGAAAUAGUGAAACAGUGUGCUGCUUCAUCACCUGAUUAAUCAUUAUCGGUAUUGAAUAUUUUCUUUCCAAAUAAUUUGUAUUGAACUGCCAUUAGAAACAUUUACGAAGAACUAUGAUGAUUGCAAGAAGUGCUUUUGAAGCAUGGCUUGUAGUUUCUCCAUUGCAUGGAAAAUAUUCUUUGUUUAUCAAACUUCCUUUGAAGAAUCUCAAAUUUAAACUGUAUUAACCUUUUGGGCUCAUAUCAAUUCAUUAUUUUGGUUACUUGAACAUAGGCUAUCUCUAAGGGACGGCAAGGUAGGGAAGCACAAAAUGUUGUGAGGUCCAUUGAGUGAAAGUGCUACCGCCGUCGGGGCUGGUGCUGCCACUCCUGCUGAGCUUUCUGGAUGUGUGCCAAUGCUUGAGGUCUUCAAACUUGCUGUCUCAACGUUUAAAGUCAACAACUGGGGCCUUUUUGGAAGUGUAUAGAUGAGUCAUAGGGCCAUGUAUAGAUUAUACAUGAAUAGGGUGAGUUGUUUUGGAUUUAAUGAUUAUUUUUUGUUCAGAAAGAUUGUUGCCAGUCACCAAACUUAGUUUCUCGUUGUCAUCUUCCAUUUUCUUUGAAUGUUGAACUGAAUGGCUCUCUUUGGGUUUGGUGACUUUGGUCUCAGUCGUUUUUGUAGAGUCUGGAUUGUUAAAAUUACUUUCGGGUCGUCUUCCUCUCAUGCCCUCUCUGCACUGGAGAUGUUACUGUUUGUGUGCAGUUUUACACAAUAAAAAUAAACCCCUAGGGCUUUGUAAAUGAUAUCACUUCUUGUUUUUUUUUAACAAAAUUUUGUGUUUGAUAAA